rnacentral:misc_RNA from 1 species
GAAAGAUGCUUGGCAUUCAGGUACGUCAAGUUUUGCAUAAUUUUGGUUUGCCUACUGUUGUGAUCAUGAAAGAUGAUAAAGCAAAAGCUUUUUGCUCACAGUUGGAUGGUGCUUAAGCAGUAAUGGUAGCAAUAGUAUUUUUCUUCCUAUUUAAUCUUUUUGGUGAAAAUGUACAUAACUGCUCUUAUUUUUCCCCGUCUGGAUAGGCCGUCUCUGGAAAAUCCAAAUUGUUUAUCAUACCUGUAAAUGUUUUCUAUUUGAUUGAUAUUUUUGUUUCACAGCCAAGAUCUUUUGGGUUUGCGGGCACAAAGGAUAAGCGCUCUGUGUCAACCCAAAGGGUUACUGUUUUCAGGCAGCAUGCUAGUAGACUAGCUGCUCUUAAUGACAGAUUGAUUGGU